AAGACAGUCUCAGUUCGGAUUGAAGGCUGAAAUUCGCCUUCAUGAAGCCGGAAUUGCUAGUAAUGGCAGGUCAGCAUACUGCCGUGAAUACGUUCCCGGGCCUUGUACACACCGCCCGUCACACCAUGAGAGUUGGGAAUACCCGAAGCCUGUGAGCUAACUUUUAGAGGCAGCAGUCGAAGGUAGAAUCAAUGAUUGGGGUGAAGUCGUAACAAGGUACC
rnacentral:rRNA from 1 species